AGGGGCGCUCGUUGUCUCUCUCUCCGUCUCAUUGUGUGUUGCUCAGUCAGUGGAGCUCUGCACCGCCGGGCGGAGAGAGCGACGGGUCCGAGGAAAAUGGCGGACGGUGUGGAUCACAUCGAUAUCUACGCCGACGUAGAGGAGGAAUUCAACCAGGAAGCUGACUACCCAGUCCACGACCAGAUCGACCUGUAUGAUGAUGUAAUAUCCCCAUCAGCCAACAAUGGUGACGCUCCAGAAGACCGUGACUACCUGGACACACUGCCUACACCCGGUGGCUCAGACGGAGGGAAGGGUUCCCAACCCAAUGUCGUGUACACAUACACAGGCAAAAGGAUUGCCCUGUACAUAGGAAACCUUACAUGGUGGACGACAGACGAGGACCUGACGGAAGCUAUUCGGUCGGUAGGCAUCACAGAUGUGCUGGAGAUCAAGUUCUUUGAAAACAGAGCUAAUGGCCAGUCCAAAGGGUUUGCGUUGGUGUGUGUGGGAUCAGAGUCGUCUUCCAGGAAGUUAAUGGAGCUGCUGUCAAAGAGGGAACUCCACGGUCAAAACCCCAUCGUCACGCCGUGCAACAAACAGUCUCUCAGUCAAUUUGAGAUGCAGUCACGUAAGAGUACCCAGUCAGGCCAGAUGUCUGGGGAAGGCAAAGCCGGCCCCCCUGGCGCUGGCCCUCGUGGGGGUUUCCCCAUGGGUCGAGGUAGAGGCAGGUUCCCCGGACCGCCCGGCCCCGGUGGAGACCGCUUCCCUGGUCCUGUUGGGCCUGGAGGACCACCACCACAUUUCCCUGGCCCAGGAAUGAGACCAGAUCUGAUUAGGCACCAAGAUGGCCCUCUGAUGGAUAUGAGUUUCAAUCCCUUCCCGCCGGGGGGCAGAAACGGGAACUGGCGCGGCAGAGGUGGGUUGCAGGGUCCCCCACGUCCACCUCCCGGUCCACCUGGUCCCCCUGGUCCUCCCGGACCUCCACCUCCUGGCCAGGGCCUCCCCCCUCCCCUCCCUGGUCCUCCGAAUCGUGGUGAUAGACCUCCUCCUCCUGUUCUCUUCCCUGGUCAGUUUGGCCAGCCUCCUAUGGGACCCCUUCCCCCAGGCCCCCCACCUCCAGGUUACGGCCCACCCCCUGGUCCCCCACCCCCUCAACAGGGCCCACCACCACCGGGACCCUUCCCUCCUCGUCCCCCAGGCCCUAUUGGGCCCCCCAUGGUUUUGGCUCCACCUCCACACAUGCCAGGUCCCCCACCGGGCGGACCACCACCAGCACCUCAUGUCAACCCUGCCUUCUUCCCCCCACCUGGCAACAACAACAUGCCCCCCAACGACAGCCGAGGACCCCCUGGACCAAACGACCCAUACGGACGCCCUCCACCAUAUGAAAGAGGGGACUACGGUCCCGGAGGCCGGGACAUGGAGGCAUCACGGACGCCUCUGAGCGAGGCAGAGUUUGAGGAGAUCAUGAACAGGAACAGAGCCAUCUCCUCCAGCGCCAUUUCUCGAGCAGUGUCUGACGCCAGUGCAGCGGACUAUGGCAGUGCUAUAGAGACAUUGGUGACAGCCAUCAGUCUGAUUAAACAGUCCAAAGUAUCAGCAGACGACCGCUGUAAGGUCCUCAUCAGUUCCCUGCAGGACUGUCUCCACGGCAUUGAGUCAAAAAGCUACGGUUCCUGCCUCCAGUCCAAUGAUGCUUGUCCAUGCCAGGCGAGAACGUUCCAGGGAACGAGACCACAGCCGCUCCAGAGAAAAGAGUCGACGCCACAAGUCUCGCAGUCGUGAUCGUCAUGAGGACUAUUACCGAGAACGCAGCCGGGAGCGGGACCGCCAUCGUGAGAGGGACCGGGACCGAGAUCGGGAGAGAGAGCGGGAGAGGGAGUACCGACAUCGCUAGACGAGAAGGGAGGUGGCUAACGAGGAUCAAGGAUGGAUGGAAGGAAAAGGAGGAAGGAUUUCAGUGCGCCACCACCUCCCCACCCUGCAUGACCGGACAGGAUUACAAGCACCACCUCUUCCUCCAUCUCUCCUCUCCUCUCCACCCAUACUUCUGUCUUGUCUGUUCAUCUUGUCUGCCUGAAUAAGAGCAGUGGAUGGAAGACCCUGACCUGUGUAAGGCUAUGUUAUCUCAACAUUUAUACUCAUGGUAACUAAAGAUGAAAGAAAAGAAACUUUCCAAACAGUUCUUUUAUUUUUAUGAUGUUUUAUUUGACAUGAAGAUGACUACAUGUUAUGCUUUUUUGCAAAGAAACAAUAAAAUGGCCCACACAACCCCUAACUAGAAGACACAAACAUUACAUCUUAUUUGCUUUUUAUUUUUCCUUGGCUCGCUGUACUGUGUACAUUCAGUUUAGAGAUCAGUUUUUAUAGGGUUACAUAUUUGAUGUGUUCUCCCCACUCCCUCCCUCAUUCUCAUUUAUUCUUUUUGUUGUUAGAAUGUUUGUAAAUGUCUUUCUGCUUUUGAUUAAAAACUAGAUGGUGUUGUAAUAAAAAAUGUUUACUGAGGUA